rnacentral:rRNA from 1 species
GGCUAAACCAUGCACCGAAGCUGCGGCAGCGACACUUUAGUGUUGUUGGGUAGGGGAGCGUUCUGUAAGCCGUUGAAGGUGUGUCGUGAGGCAUGCUGGAGGUAUCAGAAGUGCGAAUGCUGACAUAAGUAACGAUAAAGCGGGUGAAAAGCCCGCUCGCCGGAAGACCAAGGGUUCCUGUCCAACGUUAAUCGGGGCAGGGUGAGUCGACCCCUAAGGCGAGGCCGAAAGGCGUAGUCGAUGGGAAACGGGUUAAUAUUCCCGUACUUGGUGUUACUGCGAAGGGGGGACGGAGAAGGCUAUGUUGGCCGGGCGACGGUAGUCCCGGUUUAAGCGUGUAGGCUGGUUUUCCAGGCAAAUCCGGAAAAUCAAGGCUGAGGCGUGAUGACGAGGCACCACGGUGCUGAAGCAACAAAUGCCCUGCUUCCAGGAAAAGCCUCUAAGCAUCAGGUAACAUCAAAUCGUACCCCAAACCGACACAGGUGGUCAGGUAGAGAAUACCAAGGCGCUUGAGAGAACUCGGGUGAAGGAACUAGGCAAAAUGGUGCCGUAACUUCGGGAGAAGGCACGCUGACACGUAGGUGAAGUGAUUUACUCAUGGAGCUGAAGUCAGUCGAAGAUACCAGCUGGCUGCAACUGUUUAUUAAAAACACAGCACUGUGCAAACACGAAAGUGGACGUAUACGGUGUGACGCCUGCCCGGUGCCGGAAGGUUAAUUGAUGGGGUCAGCGCAAGCGAAGCUCCUGAUCGAAGCCCCGGUAAACGGCGGCCGUAACUAUAACGGUCCUAAGGUAGCGAAAUUCCUUGUCGGGUAAGUUCCGACCUGCACGAAUGGCGUAAUGAUGGCCAGGCUGUCUCCACCCGAGACUCAGUGAAAUUGAACUCGCUGUGAAGAUGCAGUGUACCCGCGGCAAGACGGAAAGACCCCGUGAACCUUUACUAUAGCUUGACACUGAACAUUGAGCCUUGAUGUGUAGGAUAGGUGGGAGGCUUUGAAGCGUGGACGCCAGUCUGCGUGGAGCCGACCUUGAAAUACCACCCUUUAAUGUUUGAUGUUCUAACGUGGACCCGUAAUCCGGGUUGCGGACAGUGUCUGGUGGGUAGUUUGACUGGGGCGGUCUCCUCCUAAAGAGUAACGGAGGAGCACGAAGGUUGGCUAAUCCUGGUCGGACAUCAGGAGGUUAGUGCAAUGGCAUAAGCCAGCUUGACUGCGAGCGUGACGGCGCGAGCAGGUGCGAAAGCAGGUCAUAGUGAUCCGGUGGUUCUGAAUGGAAGGGCCAUCGCUCAACGGAUAAAAGGUACUCCGGGGAUAACAGGCUGAUACCGCCCAAGAGUUCAUAUCGACGGCGGUGUUUGGCACCUCGAUGUCGGCUCAUCACAUCCUGGGGCUGAAGUAGGUCCCAAGGGUAUGGCUGUUCGCCAUUUAAAGUGGUACGCGAGCUGGGUUUAGAACGUCGUGAGACAGUUCGGUCCCUAUCUGCCGUGGGCGCUGGAAGACUGAGGGGGGCUGCUCCUAGUACGAGAGGACCGGAGUGGACGCAUCACUGGUGUUCGGGUUGUCAUGCCAAUGGCACUGCCCGGUAGCUAAAUGCGGAAAAGAUAAGUGCUGAAAGCAUCUAAGCACGAAACUUGCCCCGAGAUGAGUCUUCCCUGAGACUUUGAGUCUCCUGAAGGAACGUUAAAGACGAUGACGUUGAUAGGCCGGGUGUGUAAGCGCAGCGAUGCGUUGAGCUAACCGGUACUAAUGAACCGUGAGGCUUAACCUUACAACGCCGAAGCUGUU